AUUGAACGCUGGCGGCAGGUCUAACACAUGCAAGUCGAGCGAGCGGCGGACGGGUGAGUAAUGUCUGGGAAACUGCCUGAUGGAGGGGGAUAACUACUGGAAACGGUAGCUAAUACCGCAUACCAUCAGAUGUGCCCAGAUGGGAUUAGCUAGUAGGUGGGGUAAUGGCUCAACUAGACGACGAUCCCUAGCUGGUCUGAGAGGAUGACCAGCAAGACUGGAACUGAGACACGGUCCAAACUCCUACGGGAGGCAGCAGUGGGGAAUAUUGCACAAUGGGCGCAAGCCUGAUGCAGCCCGGCCGCGUGUAUGAAGAAGGCCUUCGGGUUGUAAAGUACUUGCAGCGGGGAGGCGUUACCCGCAGAAGAAGGACCGGGUAACUCCGUGCCAGCAGCCGCGGUAAUUC
rnacentral:rRNA from 1 species